rnacentral:lncRNA from 1 species
GUCCGUCCCCUACCUGGGGGGACCCACUCCAACACCUUCUUCGGCAACCUGGUAUCAGCCAUUCUCUGCACAUGCCCAUACCAUACCAAUUGCUUGGUCAUUAGAAAAUUGGUCAUUUAGAAAUUUUUUUUAAAAUUAAAAUAUGGACAAGAUAGUGGACAUACCUAAAAGCCAUGACUUUAAAUAACUAUUCACUGAACUAAAUCAGCAAGAGAGAUAAAAAUGUAUCACCUUUUCUUGUAACUUGUUAAGUUUCCGCUCCUCAAUUUGAGCCUCAAGUUCUUUGUACAUGUAUGCCGUUCUCAGUUUCUGCUCAAGCUCUUGAAGUUCUUUUGAAGUAAUUUGCAACUGCUGCCUAUAACAAGAAGGAAAAUGAUAUGUAAAAAUGAGUAAAAAGGAUAAAAAGUUAGAUUUGACAAAUGGUAAAGACUUCUUUGGUGAACACUGAUGUGUAAAACAUACCGUAAAUGUUUUGUACACUGAAGGAGGCAGGGGAGACGUGACUAUAAUUUCUGUCAAUUUUAACACCAUUGCUGUAAUUUAGUUUUAGCAAUGUAUUCUAUAACUAAUGCCAGAUUUUAAAAUAUUGUCAUUAUCAUUGGUAGCUGAUCACACAGGUGCAAGAAGUUUUUUGCCCUCACAUUUCUUGAGGCGGCUUUCACAUUGCUGUCCUUGAAAAACUGUGAGCUUCCUUAUUAUCUUCACAUAAAAAGCACACUUCACUAUUUUUUUUGCGAAGAGAGCGCUUAGUAGUUUUGCUAUAAGAAAAUAACACUUGUUACGGUCCCUUCAUAAGAGUGCCUUCUGCCUUCGCUUUUUCCCUCAUUCAACUACCUUCACAUUUUUCCUUCUAAUGAUCAGUUGAGCGCUUUCUGCAUCCCUGGCCAAUGAAUCCCUUUCUGCUUUCCUGGCCAAUUAGCACUAUGCUUCAGCUAAUCUGUCCUGUUGAUGGCUGAUACAAUGAAAAAGCAAUUUUUACAAAACCAGACAAAUGACAGGGAGAAAAGCUGGUUUCAAUGCACUGCUCAUCCUAAUGUAAUACCUUUAACUUCAAGUCAUCCAAUUAUAAGGAUACUUGCAACUUGUUAUUACCUUUGCUUCAAUUGCCGAAAUUCAUCCUCUGAAAGUUUGCCGAUUUUUCUCUCCACUGAGUCGUCCUUGCUGGGCAGCAUUUUUCUCAAAAUGAUUCAACUCUCCAAGCUCCUAACUUCGUGAUCAAAAUUGAGUUGGAGGCUCAGGAAUUUCUUCGUUUACAACCGUGACAAUAAAUCCGGUGUUACAUAAAUCUUGUAUUGCUACUUAUAGCUUUAGUAUAGAUAACACAGAAAAGGAUAAUUUACUGUGACUGGAGCAGAGACUAAAGUCUCACUAUGCCUAGUUUAAAAUAAGAAGAAACUCUGAAACACACGUAGGAAACAUCGUUGACAUGUGGCUUGUGAUAAUCCUGUAUGCCUUCCUGAUUGACACAAACGACUGAGAUAAAAAAGAAUUACGAGUUUAAAAUUGAUAAUCACCCCUCGUGUGUAGAACGAAGACUGAUAAACUUCCUCAAAACAUGUAGAGAAACACGGAGAGAAAUGAUCUGUUAUCACCCUGGUUAUCACCGGAAAUAGAUAAGUUAGGUUAGAAACGAACAAACUCACGCACGCACACAACAACACAACACCCACGCGCGCUGAGGCUGAAGCAUCAUGGC